GAGCAGCGAGUUUAUAACCUUGGCCGGAAGGUCUGGGUAAUCUUGUGAAACUCGUCGUGCUGGGGAUAGAGCAUUGCAAUUCUUGCUCUUCAACGAGGAAUUCCUAGUAAGCGUGAGUCAUCAGCUCGCGUUGAUUACGU
rnacentral:rRNA from 1 species